UGGAGGUUGCAGUGAGCCAAGAUCGUGCAUCGCACUCCAGCCCGGGCGAUAGAGUGAGACUCUCAAUCAUUAUCAAUCAAUCAGUAAAGCUGAUGAAAAUAAAAAAGCCUGCAAAUUAAUAUUAAUAUGGGCACCCAGGUCUCCUUAAAUUUAGAAUCCUUUCCUCAAAAGUCCCCCUGUUGAUACAGAAACACUUCUGAAGCCAAAUGUGAAGCACCAGUUGACCCGCAGGUGGGGGUGCCGACUGGUAGGCUGUAGGGUUAGCUCUGGCCUCUGGCAGCCAGUUGUCUCCUGAGAAAAUACUGUGGCGUGAAUGCAAAAUGUGAUUCAUCACUUGGCUCCUAAUUUCUUUUGAUUUUGUCCCCUAGAGCAAGGUCCGUGGUCCUGUCAGUGGAAGCCCGGAUAGCAUGAAUGCCUCUCGACUUAGCCAGCCUGGGCAGCUGAUGUCUCAGCCCUCCACGGCCUCCAACAGCUUACCUGAGCCAGCCAAGAAGAGUGAAGAACUGGUGGCUGAAGCACAUAACCUCUGCACCCUGCUAGAAAAUGCCAUACAGGACACCGUGAGGGAACAACACCAGAGUUUCACGGCCCUAGACUGGAGCUGGUUACAGACGGAAGAAGAAGAGCACAGCUGCCUGGAGCAGGCCUCAUGAUGUGGGGGGACUCGACCCCCUGACAUGGGGCAGCCCAUAGCAGGCCUUGUGCGGUGGGGGGACUCGACCCCCUGACAUGGGGCUGCCUGGAGCAGGCCGCGUGAUGCGGGGCUGCCUGGCCGCGGCUCUCACAUGGCGGUUCCUGCCGCACUGAUGGCCCAGUGGUCUCUGGUAUCCAGAUGGAGCUCUCGCUUCCUCAGCAGCUGUGACUUUCACCCAGGACCCAGGGCGCAGCCCUCUGUGGGCACUGCCGGCGCCUUGUCUGCACACUGGAGGUCCUCCAUUACAGAGGCCCAGCGCACAAUGCCGGCCCCACGAGUGUUCAGGGGUACAGCCACGGCAGCCCCUUCCUCUGCCAUGAGAAAAGUGCUUGGAGUACGGUUUGCCACACACGUGACUGGACAGUGUCCAAUUCAAAUCUUUCAGGGCAGAGUCCGAGCAGCGCUUGGUGCCAGUCCUCUCCUGCUCUCCAACGGCCCUGCUCCCUGUCCUCUCUCACUUUACAGCUUGUGUUUCUUCUGGAUUCAGCUUCUCCUAAACAGACAGUUUAAUUACAGUUGCGGCCUGGCCCCAUCCUCACUUCCUCUUUUUAUUUCACUGCUGCUAAAAUUGUGUUUUUACCUACUACUUUGGUGGUUGUCCUCUUUUCGGCAAAGUUGGAGUGAGUGCCAAGCUCUCCAUCUGUGGUGCUUUCUGCCACAGAGCGACUCACAGUAGCCAGGAUGGGAGAGCAGCUGCCUUAUUCCGAGUCCCAAAAAUUGUUUGGGGAUGAUUGUCACAGAGGAGGGACAGAAAGGGUAUCUGCUGACCACCGGCCUGCCUACCACCAUGCCCACGUGCCCAUUCCUGCUCAAGCAUGUGUGCUGGCCGGGGAGUCCCUGUCUCUCACAGCAUCUAGCAGUAUUAUUAAAUGCAUUCAUUUUAAAAA
rnacentral:sRNA from 1 species